rnacentral:rRNA from 1 species
AGCGAACGCUGGCGGUAGGCCUAACACAUGCAAGUCGAACGGCAGCACAGGAGAGCUUGCUCUCUGGGUGGCGAGUGGCGGACGGGUGAGGAAUACAUCGGAAUCUACCUUUUCGUGGGGGAUAACGUAGGGAAACUUACGCUAAUACCGCAUACGACCUUCGGGUGAAAGCAGGGGACCUUCGGGCCUUGCGCGGAUAGAUGAGCCGAUGUCGGAUUAGCUAGUUGGCGGGGUAAAGGCCCACCAAGGCGACGAUCCGUAGCUGGUCUGAGAGGAUGAUCCGCCACACUGGAACUGAGACACGGUCCAGACUCCUACGGGAGGCAGCAGUGGGGAAUAUUGGACAAUGGGCGCAAGCCUGAUCCAGCCAUACCGCGUGGGUGAAGGAGGCCUUCGGGUUGUAAAGCCCUUUUGUUGGGAAAGAAAAGCAACCAGUUAAUACCUGGUUGUUCUGACGGUACCCAAAGAAUAAGCACCGGCUAACUUCGUGCCAGCAGCCGCAGUAA